rnacentral:rRNA from 1 species
UACGGGGGGGGCAAGCGUUGUCCGGAAUCAUUGGGCGUAAAGAGCGUGUAGGCGGUCCGGUAAGUCGGUUGUGAAAGUCCGGGGCUCAACUCCGGAUCUGCGGUGGGUACGGGCAGACUAGAGUGAUGUAGGGGAGACUGGAAUUCCUGGUGUAGCGGUGAAAUGCGCAGAUAUCAGGAGGAACACCGAUGGCGAAGGCGGCAUCCUGGACCGGCAUUGACGCUGAGGAGCGAAAGCCAGGGGAGCAAACGGG